GGAUGUGAGGGUGAUCUGGCUGCGACAUCUGUCACCCCAUUGAUCGCCAGGGUUGAUUCAGCUGAUCUGGCUGGCUAGGUGGGUGUCCCCCUCCUUCCUCACAGCUCCAUGUGCGUCCUUCCCGAAGCUGUGUGCACUCAGUCGAAGAGGACAACCUUCCCCAAAUAGAGGGUGACCAGCCUUCGGUCAAUGGUAUACAAGUAGCUGUGCUCCCCUGCUAGAACCUCCAAACAAGCUCUCAGGGACCCGCAGUAUAUGUUUGGGAAUAUAUAAUAUAAGCGUGAAGACCAGGGGAACAGAAAUAUAUCCAAACAAACGUGAUUU
rnacentral:snRNA from 1 species